ACUUCGCCCGGACUCCUACGGGAGUCGGGCUCCACCCGCGAUUUUUGCAGUAAGGGAGACUCCGCUCGGACUCCUACGGGAGCCGGACUCCACCCCACGACUUCUGCAGCAAGGAAGACUCCGCCCGCCCCGGCAAUGGCCCUUACGUGCCCUCGCAGGAACGGGAGGAGAACCUCGUCCUGAUGGUGACGAAACCCAACCACCCAACAAGAUCGGAUGAAGGGAAAAAGCCCCUUAGCGGCACCUCCACGCUCCUGUGCAACCCCGCAAAGGGCGAGGGGAGGGCCCUCACUCAGAGAAGAGGAGGAAAAUUAAAAAAGAAGGGUGACGAACUACGAUGGAAACAGAUGAAGGAAGAACCACACCAAAGACCUAAAGGACUUCGUCCCAAUGGAGACAGGGAGUUCCCACCAAACACCCCCGGCCUCUAAAAAGACUCCCGACACA
rnacentral:lncRNA from 1 species